UUUCAACAUCGUUUUGAUCUAUACGCAAUACAUUUAAACGUACUAUAUACGAUUAUUUACGUGGGUAUAAAUACUUGGGCAUGAUUAGGGUUAUUCAUUACAGAAGAAGAUGCCGGGAUGAAUGGGAGAAAACAAGGUUCAGAUUAGAAUGAAAUUAAAAAAACUGUAAUCCUACGGUACCUGAAAUGGUUGGAAAAGUUAGAGAUAGUGGAUAAUAGUCUUCAAAUGUUUGAAAAACCAAAAACAGAAACGGUACAUUUAUAUUAUGGCUUCUAAAAGUAUAGAUUUGCCAAGUUGCAUGCAGACGCAAAUUAAUUAGAUCUGUUCCACAGGUCCUAUAUAUCUACAUGAACAUGCUGAACGUACUACAGAUAAAUGAACGAUGGAAGUGCAUGAGAUGUUUCCAUGAUGUGGUUAUUUUGAAGUGUUGGAAUGAAAGACAAAAUUUCAGUCAACUGCAAAAUUUAUAUCAAACAACAUAUUGAUCAUGACCAAACUACACUUGUUUCACAUGAAUACCACUAUGAGUUGGUGCCUAACCAUUUUAUCCCUGUACUCCAUGUCCGUAAACUAGCUGUAACAAUCUAGCCAAAAGGGUCCGUUUUGGAUUCAUGUCGAAUAUACAUGUAACUGCACGGUUCUUACAUUUGAAGAUUUGGGCCAUUAAAAACAUACUAGAAAAAUCAGGCCGUCCGUUUUUUCGUUUAAUAAACGGUACUGGGUUUGCUCGUAGAUGAAGGUCGUAGGGUGAUCUUCAGUUGCCUACAUCCACGUCAAUUGCAUGGUCUCUGGUGGAUAGCUCUGUCUCAUUGGCAUCAUACCCUAUCUCCUUAUUUUAAUAUUCUAUUACAUGGAAGAGGAAGACAAAAAUAAGGUACAUAAUUGGAGAGUACCUAAUGCAGAGGCGGAGGGGGCAUUAUUGAGCUUUAUAUAAAAAUACGAAUACGAAUACUUUAUUAGACCAAUUAUCGGCCCAUUUAAUGUUUACAAAUAGACAUAAAAAAAACACAAUAAUCAUAAUUCUUAUGAUAAUAUGGAUUUAACUACAGCAGUUGUUUUCUUUUAGUAAAUUCAUAUAAGAUAAAUGCACAGUCUUUUUACAAAUAUCACUCUCAACGUUUACUUCCCACUUGCCAGGGGCCAUGCACCCUUUAUUCUAAAAUUCUGGAUCCUCACGCCACCUGCUUAAUGUACAAAAUUCUAAGCGUUAUUGAAAAUGGAACGUUGUUUAAAAAUGUAAAAAAUGUACGAAUUUAACGUGCACGAAGAUCUUGGUUGUUAUUGAAGUGAUGAAAAAAAGACAAAAAAUAUAGACUUCAAAAAUGUUGAUCACGUGAUAUUAGUUUGUAAUAGGAAAUAUCAGAAACAUGUUAUUUGGUUUCUUUGAUGUUGGGUUGCUGUCUAGCUGACGUAUUCACCGCAUCUACUUUCAUUCGUAUUUUAUUAUAUUAUAUACAUCAUAUCUAAUAAUCAUUGUCAUCAAGUAGAUAUAAGAAGAUGUGGUAUGAGUGCCAAUGAGACAACUCUCCAUCCAAGUCAAAACUUAUAAAAGUAAACCAUUAUAGGUCAAUUUUAGUCAUCAUCACAGAAAAAUAUGAUUUGCUUCUUUUUCUUUUCUCCUUUUUAUUUACAGUUCGUAUAACAUCUAAUGAAUUUGUUCGUUUUACAUGCAUGCUCAUAAUGUUAUUAUUGUAUAUAAAUUUAUAUUGUAAUACGGAGAAGACUUAAUAAGUAUGAACUACUUGUGUCUCAUCCAUUUUGCUUAGAUUUAGCAAAUAAACUAUAUAUCAUAAUGAU